rnacentral:rRNA from 1 species
UACGUAGGCAGCAAGCGUUGUUCGGAAUUACUGGGCGUAAAGCGUGUGUAGGCGGUGCUCCAAGUCUGGGGUGAAAUCUCCCGGCUUAACUGGGAGGGUGCAUUAGAAACUGGAAUGCUAGAGGAUGGGAGAGGUAAGCGGAAUUCCUGGUGUAGCGGUGAAAUGCGUAGAUAUCAGGAGGAACACCUGUGGUGUAGACAGCUUACUGGACCAUUUCUGACGCUGAGACACGAAAGCGUGGGUAGCAAACAGG